rnacentral:lncRNA from 1 species
CCCAUAGUGUGAGAAGGCUUAGGACAGUUACAGAAGCCAUGUGCAGGUGUUCUGGCUCCAGCAAAGGUCUCAUCUGACAACAUCAACUACAUGUUAGUGGGGUUUGUCUUGGUUCAUUUUAUGCUGCUGUAACAGAACACCAGAGACUGAGAAAUUUAUAAGGAAUAGAAGUUUAUUUGCCUCAUGGUUCUGGAGGCUGGGAAGUCCAAGAUCAAGGGGCUGCAUAGAUUGAAGUCCUUUUUGCUGACUCAUAACAUGGAAAGAGAGUGCACUGCAUAGAAGAAAGGAGGCCAAACUCAUUCUUUUAUCAUGAGCCUACUCCUGAAAUAACUCACUCUCAAGAUAAUGGCAUUAACCCAUUCAUGAAGGCAGAACACUCAUGAUGUAAUCACCUCUUAAAGGUCCUAUUUCCUAACACUGUUGCAUUGGGGAUUAAGCUUUCAACACAUGAAUAUUGGGGGACACAUUCAAACCAUAGCAAGGGUUCUUUGUCUGUGUGACUCGGUGUGGUUCAGCAAAUUGCGAUUGGUCUGCUAUAGUGGACUUUCCCCUCACCUCCCAAAUGUUUAUUAUGAAAAAUUUCAAUUUAAAGAAAGGUGGAAGGAAUUGUUGAAA